UAGGGAAUCUUCCGCAAUGGACGCAAGUCUGACGGAGCAACGCCGCGUGAGUGAAGAAGGAUUUCGGUUCGUAAAACUCUGUUGUUAGAGAAGAACAGCGCAUAGAGUAACUGUUAUGCGUGUGACGGUAUCUAACCAGAAAGCCACGGCUAACUACGUGCCAGCAGCCGCGGUAAUACGUAGGUGGCAAGCGUUGUCCGGAUUUAUUGGGCGUAAAGCGAGCGCAGGCGGUCAAUUAAGUCUGAUGUGAAAGCCCCCGGCUCAACCGGGGAGGGUCAUUGGAAACUGGUUGACUUGAGUGCAGAAGAGGAGAGUGGAGUUCCAUGUGUAGCGGGGAAAUGCGAAGAGAUAUGGAGGAACACCAGUGGCGAAGGCGACUUUCUGGUCUGUAACUGACGCUGAUGUGCGAAAGCGUGGGGAUCAAACAGG
rnacentral:rRNA from 1 species